rnacentral:rRNA from 1 species
GACGAACGCUGGCGGCGUGCCUAAUACAUGCAAGUAGAACGCUGACGGUGGAUCUUGCUUCUCUGGAUGAGUGGCGGACGGGCGGGUAACUCGUACGUAACCUGCCUGGUAGCGGGGGGGAAAUAGUCGAAACGAAAGCUAAUACCGCAUACUAGCAGUUGUUGCAUGAUAACUGUUUGAUAGGUGCAAUUGCACGACUACCAGAUGGCCCUGCGUUGUAUUAGCUAGUUGGUGGGGUAACGGCUCACCAAGGCGACGAUACAGAGCCGACCGGGGAGGGGGAGCGGCCACACUGAGACUGAGACAGGGCCCCGACUCAGACGCGAGGGAGCAGCAGGGAAACGGCGGCAAUGGACGGAAGCCUGACCCAGAAACGCCGCGGGAGUGAAGAAGAUGUUCGGAUCGUAAAGCGUUGUCUUCAGAGGAGAACGAGUAUGAGACUGGAAAGGUCACGCUGUGAAGGUAUCGUACCAGAAAGGGACGGCUAACUACGUG